rnacentral:lncRNA from 1 species
AUUGUGGCUGUGUAGUGUCACGGACCUCAGGGGCUGGAGACCCGGUCCCCUCGGGCAAAGGCCAAUUUCCCCCAGAGCUCCCUCACUUCCUUACCAGCCCCUGGAGCAGGACUGUCUGAACAACACUACAAGUUCAAAGAGUCAGUAGUGCACAGCCAGAGCAGCACAGGUCAAUUGGCCCUACAGGCACCAGCACUGCUGUCUUAAGAAAAUAAACCUGUGUGCAAAGCUCCAUUUUGCAGCGUAUUUUCAUAACAGGUUUUCAAAUGUUAACCUUUAAGACACGCAAGGUAAAAGACGCUCAUUGUCCCAGUAAAAUGGCACCGUAUCAUUUUCUAUCAAUGUGGAGGAUUUUCAGGGAGGUCCCACAUGUGAAAUUUAAUCAAACUGUGGAACUAAAUUUGUUCUUUUUUUCCCCUCAUAUGUGCAAAUUUAGCUCAAGAGUCGCUCUUGCCCCAUACAAGUCAACCGUCAUCUUGGAUGAAAUCCGUACUCUUUGAAGAACUAAAAUAUCCAAAGGUGCGGUCCGAUCCACAGACUCUCGCAGGAAACGUCGACAGAGGUGGCGGUGACCUGGACCGCUUCGCAUGUCCACGCAGGGAGGCCGGAGUCUGGAGGCAGGGCCCGGGGGCUCGUGGCAGCGCUAGUUCAGACCUCAACAAAGGAAAUGGAGGUCAGCGUCGGUCGACUCUGCCCCGGCGAAGGAAGCACGCUUUCGCAGCGGAAAGAAAUACAAUACUAGACUUUCACAAAGCAACAACCCGCACGGGAGUCCAUGGUGCUAAAACACUCAAACAAACGAGCUCAUUUUCAUCCCUACACUGUCAAUAUUCCUAUUGUUCGGUGCUGACUUUGACAGGAUCAAAUAAAUAUUUAAGGGUAGCGAUGUGCACAAACCACUUGUUGCCUGGCGUUGCCUUAUCAUUCAGUCAUCGUACACGAUGUUUUGAAGCAUGAGCUAUGACCUGUUCGGAGAUCCUCCAGAACCUGGACCUGCUGCCCGUGUGAAAUGUUGAAACAACCUAUUGACUGUGGUUUGUUGUGAUGUACAUGGCUUGCUGUAGUUUUAACUCCUUGUUGCAUCUGUUUAUGACAAGAAUGCAUGUUCUAUGUUUACUUGAGGCUUUCUCCUCGUCUCUGAUCUGGCGUGUUGAGAGGCGCUUUCAUGUUUCCACUUAAAAUGGCCUCUCACUCAAGUGGCUUUGAACUCACAUGCAGGUCUAAGUAAAAUACACAGGCUGCCACAGUCUGUAGACAAGCGCUCCAGAUGUCACUGUGUGUAACAAUACAUGCAUAUUGCAGGAUAACGCAGCACUUGAUCCAUACCAUAAGUAUAAUGGGCCCUGCAUUUUAAUGGGAUUAAUGUCAUGUGUUUGACAGGACAGACUGAUUUUACUCAUGCACACAUGCAAACUCAAAUGGCGGUUGGCAGAAUACGAGAAACACACUGAACACCUUGACUGUGUCCACUAAAAAAGUACUAUGACUAUAAUAAAGUACUGUGGUACAACUUUGAGAUGCUCAUUCUAUGGUAGGCCUACCAUUUGAUUAUCCAAUUCAUAUGGCAUGGUGUUUAUAUGGUAUUUCAUAAGAUGGCAUAGUUUUACCAUUAUUACAAAAAAAAGUUAAUCCAUAGCUACAAUCUAGGCUAAAUUUUUUUGUCCUCACGUCAUGUGUGAAGCUCUAUAUAUAUAAAAAAAAAUGGCUCUUAAGUAGUUUGGUAACUUUUAAACCGCUCUUUCUAUACUGUUUUAUCAUCAGG